GAUGAACGCUAGCUACAGGCUUAACACAUGCAAGUCGAGGGGCAGCAUGGGGGUUGCUUGCAAUCCCUGAUGGCGACCGGCGCACGGGUGAGUAACGCGUAUCCAACCUGCCCGCCACUCGGGUAUAGCCCAGUAGAAAACUGGAUUAAUCCCUGAUGGUCUCCUUUGCGGACAUCUGACGAGGAGUAAAGAUUCAUCGGUGGUGGAUGGGGAUGCGUCUGAUUAGGUUGCAGGCGGGGUAACGGCCCACCUGGCCGACGAUCAGUAGGGGUUCUGAGAGGAAGGUCCCCCACAUUGGAACUGAGACACGGUCCAAACUCC
rnacentral:rRNA from 1 species